AUUGAACGCUGGCGGCAGGCCUAACACAUGCAAGUCGAACGAGUGGCGGACGGGUGAGUAAUGUCUGGGAAAAUGCAUGAUGGAGGGGGAUAACUACUGGAAACGGUAGCUAAUACCGCAUACCAUCAGAUGUGCCCAGAUGGGAUUAGCUAGGUGGUGGGGUAACGGAUAACCAAGGAGACGAUCCCUAGCUGGUCUGAGAGGAUGACCACCCACACUGGAACUGAGCACCGGUCCAGACUCCUACGGGAGGCAGCAGUGGGGAAUAUUGCACAAUGGGCGCAAGCCUGAUGCAGCCAUGCCGCGUGUAUGAAGAAGUCCUUCGGGUUGUAAAGUACUUUCAGCGGGGAGGCGUUACCCGCAGAAGAAGCACCGGCUAACUCCGUGCCAGCCACCGCGGUAAUUC
rnacentral:rRNA from 1 species